AAUAGAGGAAGAACAGCUGAGUUCGCGCCGUCCUGGCGGCAGACUCAAACCGUGACAUCCUGUACGUCGCAACGCUGUUCUGACCACCAUCCUGUUAG
rfam:Virgibacillus soli strain PL205 scaffold000003, whole genome shotgun sequence.